ACUCUUUAGCGUAUGACGGAUUACGUCAGUCGGGUGUUUAGCCAGACUCAAAUUUAUUGAACGGU
rnacentral:sRNA from 1 species